rnacentral:rRNA from 1 species
ACUAUGCUUAGCCUAAACUCAGAUGUAAUUACAUACAAANCCAUCCGCCAGGGUACUACAAGCGCUAGCUUAAAACCCAAAGGACUUGACGGUGUCUCAGACCCACCUAGAGGAGCCUGUUCUAGAACCGAUAAUCCCCGUUAAACCUCACCAUCCCUUGUCUUUUCCCGCCUAUAUACCGCCGUCGCAAGCUUACCCUGUGAAGGACUUACAGUAAGCAAAAUGGGCCAGCCCCAGAACGUCAGGUCGAGGUGUAGCUCACGAGAUGGAAAGAAAUGGGCUACAUUUUCUAUUACAGAACAUUCACGAACGGUACCAUGAAACCUAGUACCCGAAGGUGGAUUUAGCAGUAAAAAACAAACAGAGCGUGUUUUUGAAUCAGGCUCUG